rnacentral:rRNA from 1 species
GACGUAGGGCGCGAGCGUUGUCCGGAUUUAUUGGGCGUAAAGAGCUCGUAGGCGGCUUGUCGCGUCGACUGUGAAAACCCGCGGCUCAACUGCGGGCCUGCAGCCGAUACGGGCAGGCUAGAGUUCGGUAGGGGAGACUGGAAUUCCUGGGUGUAGCGGUGAAAUGCGCAGAUAUCAGGAGGAACACCGGUGGCGAAGGCGGGGUCUCUGGGCCGAUACUGACGUGAGGAGCGAAAGCGUGGGGGAGC